rnacentral:rRNA from 1 species
CAGUCGCCGCGGGAAUACGUAGGUGGCAAGCGUUGUCCGGAAUUAUUGGGCGUAAAGGGCUCGCAGGCGGUUUCUUAAGUCUGAUGUGAAAGCCCCCGGCUCAACCGGGGGGGGUCAUUGGAAACUGGGAAACUUGAGUGCAGAAGAGGAGGGUGGAAUUCCACGUGUAGCGGUGAAAUGCGUAGAGAUGUGGAGGAACACCAGUGGCGAAGGCGACUCUCUGGUCUGUAACUGACGCUGAGGAGCGAAAGCGUGGGGAGCGAACAGGAUUAGAUACCCCUGUAGUCCCUGUCUCUUAUAC